AGUCAUAUGCUUGUCUCAAAGAUUAAGCCAUGCAUGUCUAAGUAUAAGCAACUUGUACUGUGAAACUGCGAAUGGCUCAUUAAAUCAGUUAUCGUUUAUUUGAUAGUACCUUACUACUUGGAUAACCGUGGUAAUUCUAGAGCUAAUACAUGCCAAAAACCCCGACUCACGAAGGGGUGUAUUUAUUAGAUAGCAAGCCAGCGCCCCUCGGGGCUUCUUGGUGAUUCAUGAUAACUAAGCGUAGCGCAUGGCCUCUGUGCCGGCGCAGGAUCAUUCAAAUACCUGCCCUAUCAAGUUUCGAUGUGAGGGUAGUGUCCUCACAUGCUGUUGACGGGUAACGGGGAAUUAGGGUUCGACUCCGGAGAGGGAGCCUGAGAAACGGCUACCACAUCCAAGGAAGGCAGCAGGCGCGCAAAUUACCCAAUCCCGACACGGGGAGGUAGUGACAAGAAAUACUGAUACAGGAUUCUUUUGGAUCUUGUAAUUGGAAUGAGUACAAUUUAAACCCAUUAACGAGGAACAAUUGGAAUAGCGUAUAUUAAAGUUGUUGCAGUUAAAACGCUCGUAGUUGAACUUUGGGCCUGGCUGGCCGGUCUGCCUCACCGCGUGUACUGGUCUGGCUGGGUCUUUCCUCUUGGGGAGCUGCAUGCCCUUCACUGGGUGUGCCAGGGAACCAGGACUUUUACUUUGAAAAAAUUAGAGUGUUCAAAGCAGGCCUUUGCUUGAAUAUAUUAGCAUGGAAUAAUGAAAUAGGACGUGCGGUUCUAUUUUGUUGGUUUCUAGGACCGCCGUAAUGAUUAAUAGGGAUAGUUGGGGGCAUCAGUAUUCAAUUGUCAGAGGUGAAAUUCUUGGAUUUAUUGAAGACUAACUACUGCGAAAGCAUUUGCCAAAGGAUGUUUUCAUUAAUCAAGAACGAAAGUUAGGGGAUCGAAGACGAUCAGAUACCGUCGUAGUCUUAACCGUAAACUAUGCCGACUAGGGAUCGGGUGGUGUUUCUAUUAUGACUCACUCGGCACCUUACGAGAAAUCAAAGUGUUUGGGUUCU
rnacentral:rRNA from 1 species